rnacentral:lncRNA from 1 species
AGGUACAGGAACAAGGUCGGAGGGCAGAGUCCGCGGGAGCGACACGGAGGCCGGGACAGCUGCUGACGCCUGGUCUGGGUCAGUGGGGAGCCCUGGGGAUCCAGCCCGGUCCGGUGCUCCCAUCCUCAUCCAACGCGCUCCUCACAGGGGUGACCCCCAGCGAGGUGCCUGCGCCUACGUUCAGGGCGGACCCUGCAGGUUUCCUAUCAGAUGUUCCACCAUAAUAAUGCUGGAGUUAAGAAGUCUCCAUUUCUUUGCUCCAAACCAGAAGACUUUGUUCCCUGCAUAUAGAGUAGGAGUAAUGUUGGUUAGAAACUGGCUGGUGUUUAAAACUGAAGAUUGUCAUGACUGUUUAACCUAAACCCUAUUCUGAAGUAAAAAUAAUUGUCUUGGAAAUACUAAGUUGGGGUAAC